CCUACGGGGGGCAGCAGUAGGGAAUAUUGCUCAAUGGGGGAAACCCUGAAGCAGCAACGCCGCGUGGAGGAUGAAGGUUUUCGGAUUGUAAACUCCUUUUGUUAGAGAAGAUAAUGACGGUAUCUAACGAAUAAGCACCGGCUAACUACGUGCCAGCAGCCGCGGUAAUACGGAGGGUGCAAGCGUUACUCGGAAUCACUGGGCGUAAAGAGCGCGUAGGCGGGAUAGCAAGUCAGAUGUGAAAUCCUAUGGCUUAACCAUAGAACUGCAUUUGAAACUGUUAUUCUAGAGUAUGGGAGAGGUAGGCGGAAUGCUUGGUGUAGGGGUAAAAUGCGUAGAGAUCAAGAGGAAUACUCAUUGCGAAGGCGACCUGCUAGAACAUAACUGACGCUGAUGCGCGAAAGCGUGGGGAGCAAACAGGAUUAGAUACCCCGGUAGUC
rnacentral:rRNA from 1 species